rnacentral:rRNA from 1 species
ACGCUCGACACCUACUGGAGGCAGCAGUGGGGGAAUAUUGCACAAUGGGGGAAACCCUGAUGCAGCGACGCCGCGUGAGCGAAGAAGUAUUUCGGUAUGUAAAGCUCUAUCAGCAGGGAAGAAACUGACGGUACCUGACUAAGAAGCACCGGCUAAAUACGUGUCAGCAGCCGCGGUAAUCUGAGCGGGCGUGGCGAAGGC